rnacentral:rRNA from 1 species
AACGAACGCUGGCGGCAGGCCUAAUACAUGCAAGUCGAACGAUCCUUCGGGAUAGUGGCGCACGGGUGAGUAACACGUGGGAACAUACCCUUGGGUGCGGAACAACGUCGGGAAACUGACGCUAAUACCGCAUAAUGACUCCGGUCCAAAGAUUUAUCGCCCAAGGAUUGGCCCGCGCUAGAUUAGGUUGUUGGUGAGGUAACGGCUCACCAAGCCUACGAUCUAUAGCUGGUCUGAGAGGAUGAUCAGCCACACUGGGACUGAGACACGGCCCAGACUCCUACGGGAGGCAGCAGUAAGGAAUAUUGGACAAUGGGGGCAACCCUGAUCCAGCCAUGCCGCGUGAGUGAAGAAGGCCUCAGGGUUGUAAAGCUCUUUCAGGUGCGAAGAUAAUGACUGUAACACCAGAAGAAGCCCCGGCUAAAUUCGUG